AACUCUACCAUCCUCGCCCUUGAUACACCUAACUUGGUCUAGAUCACGUGCCUUCCUUUCCCUUGCUUUAGCUAACCGGAAUAACUUCUUAUCCCUGCCUCUCUCCCCUAGUUCCUCGUACAUGCGACCGAACGUCGCGUUUUUAGCUUCCGUGAGUGCCAUCUUUGCUUCUUUCCUCGCCACCUUGUAGAUCACCCUGUUCGCUUUCCGUUCUUCCUCGCUUGUGCUCCGUACCAACCUAGCGAACGCCGCCUUCUUCACCUCCACUUUUCCUUUGACUACAUCGUUCCACCACCAAUCACCCUGAUGCCUGCCUGAAUAUCCCUUGGCUACCCCGAGCACGUCCCGUGCUACCCCCCUAACCAAGUUCGCCUUUACUGUCCAC
rnacentral:lncRNA from 1 species